CCCGCUGAACUUAAGCAUAUCAAUAAGCGGAGGAAAAGAAACCAACAGGGAUUACCCUAGUAACGGCGAGUGAAGCGGUAACAGCUCAAAUUUGAAAUCUGACCUUCACGGGUCCGAGUUGUAAUUUGUAGAGGAUGUUUCGGAUAAGGCUUUGGUUUAAGUUUCUUGGAACAGAACGUCAUAGAGGGUGAGAGUCCCGUCUAGAACCGAUAGCCGCGUCCAUGUGAAACUCCUUCGACGAGUCGAGUUGUUUGGGAAUGCAGCUUAAAAUGGGUGGUAAAUUUCAUCUAAAGCUAAAUAUUGGCCAGAGACCGAUAGCGCACAAGUAGAGUGAUCGAAAGAUGAAAAGCACUUUGAAAAGAGAGUUAAACAGUAUGUGAAAUUGUUGAAAGGGAAGCGCUUGUAACCAGACUUGUGUUUAACGGUUCCCCCGCGUCUUUUGACCGGGUUAUUCCGUUAUAUCCAGGCCAGCAUCGGUUCGAGUGGUCGGUCAAAGGCCUUGGGAAUGUAUCUACCUUCGGGUCGACUUAUAGCUCAAGGUGUAAUGCGGCCUACUUGGACCGAGGAACGCGCUUUUGCUCGGAUGCUGGCGUAAUGGUUGUAAGCGGCCCGUCUUGAAACACGG
rnacentral:rRNA from 1 species